rnacentral:rRNA from 1 species
UACGUUCCCGGGCCUUGUACACACCGCCCGUCACACCACGAAAGUCGGCAACACCCGAAGCCGGUGGCCUAACCCGCAAGGGAGGGAACCGUCGAAGGUGGGGUUGAUGAUUGGGGUG